UCGGGUACGUGGUGUCGCAACGCACCAAACGCCUGCUGACGCAGGCGCCCUUGCGGGGCUGGGCCCGUGGUCUCUCGUCAAGCCAUUGGUCGAGCGCGCGCCAGCCUAGUAAUCGUCACUUCCUCCGCAACAGGAAGUGGGUCGGCUGCGAGCGCCGUCUCUCCGCGACUACCCUGAACUACGGGAACCUCAGCUCCAAUGGGAAGACUAGAGACGCGGCAGGCAUCUAGUAAAGGAGGCAUUGAUGUAACACUGUUUUCUAAAGUUAACAAGUGAUUAGCCGCCUAUCUGCAACAUGAAGCUACCGACAAUCUCAACUUCUGAGAAGCUGUCCUGAACGGUUUGCGAUGGUGCUGCUGUAACCGCAACAGACAUAACCUGGACGCCCUGGACAGCAAAGCCUUUUGUGUGCCUUUCAAUUGCGGUUUGCGUAUCACCGUACACUGGGGUGUGCACAAUGGUGAUUUCUAUAUGGCCGUGCGCCGUGUCUCUUACGGCGACUUUUCAAGCGUUUCUUCUUCUGACCAAAAGCAUCUUUGGUACAACAAUUUAUUUGCCAUAAAUAACGAUAAAUAACCACAUUUUCUUGAUCUCUUGCUGUAUAACAUGUUUGAGUGUAUACUGUUGGUGCAAGUAAAGCGUAUUUGACACAAAAUGUGGCUUGAAAUAACUUUUUGCUGUAUUCGUGAGUUUUUGGUUACUUCCUACUACUGAAAACUGCAAUAAAAGAUGUUACCCACUUGGGCAUGGUUAUCGAAAAAGA